UCUUUUAAUUUAGGACUGGAAUGAAUGGUUUAACUUAUUUUUUCUGUCUCAUUUUAAUAUUUUAAAUUUUAUAUUUUAGUAAAAAAGCUAAGAUUUUAUUUUUAGACGAGAAGACCCUAUCAAGCUUUAUAAUUAAAUUUUAUUAUCAAAAUAAAAAUACAUUAUUUCGCUGGGGUAGCUAAUAAGAAGUUUUUUAUUUUAUUAUUGUGAUUUAUUAAUCUUGUAAAACCUAAAAUUUUUUAAAAAAAAAUAAGUUACUGUAGGGAUAACAGCAUAAUUUUUUUUAAGAGAUCUUAUCAUCAGAAAGAAGUUUAUGACCUCGAUGUUGGAUUAAGAAUACUCUAAUUUACGCAAAAGUUAAAAAAAGG
rnacentral:rRNA from 1 species